CCUACGGGAGGCAGCAGUGGGGAAUAUUGGACAAUGGGCGAAAGCCUGAUCCAGCAAUGCCGCGUGAGUGAAGAAGGCCUUCGGGUUGUAAAGCUCUUUUACCCGGGAAGAUAAUGACCGUACCGGGAGAAUAAGCCCCGGCUAACUCCGUGCCAGCAGCCGCGGUAAUACGGAGGGGGCUAGCGUUGUUCGGAAUCACUGGGCGUAAAGCGUGCGUAGGCGGCCAUUCAAGUCAGAGGUGAAAGCCCAGGGCUCAACCCUGGAACUGCCUUUGAAACUAGGUGGCUGGAACACGGGAGAGGUGAGUGGAAUUCCGAGUGUAGAGGUGAAAUUCGUAGAUAUUCGGAAGAACACCAGUGGCGAAGGCGGCUCACUGGACCGUUGUUGACGCUGAGGCACGAAAGCGUGGGGAGCAAACAGGAUUAGAUACCCUGGUAGUCCACGCCGUAAACGAUGAUAACUAGCUGUUGGGGCUCUUUGAGCUCCAGUGGCGCAGCUAACGCAUUAAGUUAUCCGCCUGGGGAGUACGGCCGCAAGGUUAAAACUCAAAAGGAAUUGACGG
rnacentral:rRNA from 1 species